rnacentral:rRNA from 1 species
UAGGGAAUCUUCCACAAUGGACGCAAGUCUGAUGGAGCAACGCCGCGUGAGUGAAGAAGGUUUUCGGACCGUAAAGCUCUGUUGUUGGUGAAGAAGGAUAGAGGUAGUAACUGGCCUUUAUUUGACGGUAAUCAACCAGAAAGUCACGGCUAACUACGUGCCAGCAGCCGCGGUAAUACGUAGGUGGCAAGCGUUGUCCGGAUUUAUUGGGCGUAAAGCGAGCGCAGGCGGAAGAAUAAGUCUGAUGUGAAAGCCCUCGGCUUAACCGAGGAAUUGCAUCGGAAACUGUUUUCUUGAGUGCAGAAGAGGAGAGUAGA